UUAGCCAAAGCAGGUUUCAGUUUUUUGUUUCCUCCAUUUACUAUGUAGCAUUCACAACAUACAGCUCUGCGAUUAUUAAUGUAGUCAUAACGCUCCGUUUCUUAUUCUCCUUGGCUCACAUCUUCAUAAAAAUGACAACGAAGAAAGACUGCACAAAGCACGAUUCCCUUGUACUAGGGCGCAUCCUGCGGCUGCAUCCUGCGCAUGAGAUGGACAUGAAGGGAACUCAGCUCCACCAAGAUCCGCCUGCAUGACCAGACCCUGAUGCGGGCAUUAGAGACGCGCCCGUGGAAUGCAGCCUAGUCUGACUGAGAACAGCCCUGUGAAUACAAAUGUUUCUAAAAUGGCUGACUCUGUACAAGAGUAAAUAAGAACCUUUCCAGCUUUUCAUUUAGUCACAAGAUCAGGAGGUCUCGUCACCCCAAAUAGAGUAGAGAAUUGAGGUAGUUUUCCAGCUGAGCCAGGCAAAGUAAGAAGAUGGGGGAAGGUGACUUUCCCAGCAAAGACCUUGCCUUUUAAUGUUCUUUUUAAAAGAAUAGAGCUCAGACUGAACUAAUCCCCCAUGAAUAUAUGCCUUAGGAAAUAAUUUUUAUUAAUAGCUGAAUAUUUUUACUUUCUUUCCCAGGCACCCAAAUAUUAGGCUUAUGAUAUUUAGUUGCAUGCAUAUAUCAUUGUGUCAAAGAAAAGGGGGAAAUCCAGCCUUAAUAAAAAAUAAUUUAUUAACUUUUCCAGGUCCUAUAAAUUUAAUAUGCUGUGGGUUCCUGCUCUCAUUGCAGAUUUCUUUUAGAAGUAUAUUUAUGAGUAUGAGCUUAUAAUAUUUUUCAACAGUUUAUCGGUAAAUACCAACAAAACAAAGAUCUCUGAUGCACAUAAUCCACAGAAACAUGGUUCGGGUGACUACAUGUCAGUUAGCCAUGCUAUUUGUUUUGUGUCAUUUUUCUCUCAACCAGUUCAUUUCUUUCCCCAAGAGAAAUAGCUGAAGCUGGUUUAUAUUGCUCCAUAAAUGUUAAGCAUUGAUGUAUUCAUUUUCUGAACACAAAAUAACAAUAAUUUUUUGUCACCCUCCUUCUAAAUCAUACUCCCUGUUCUUAACACUAUGUUUUAUGUUGUUGUUGUCGUUGUUAGGAUGCAAGUUUAUUUUAUUCUUUUUUGCAGUAAUAAUAACCACAAAAUAUAAUCUCUGUAUAAAUAUAAUUUUUCUUCUCCAUAAUUGCACAUAAAAUCUAUCCUACUUGGAAACUGCAGCAAGUAGAAGAAUCACUAUAAAUGCUGGCCUCAGGGAAUCUACGAUUUCUUCAAGAUUUAAGGCAGAAAUAUUCAGAGGCCAGGUUACUCAAACAAGACCAACCAUUUUUUGUUAGUUUUUUUAUUUUUCUUUUCUGCAAAAUAUUACCUAAAGGUAGCCCUAAGCACUAAGGGAUUGAGGUUUCUAUUUAGUCUACAACUGAACUAACAGGUUUUUGCUACCUGUGGGUAUCAACUUGGGAUUUCAGUUAGUUAAGCAGCUUUGGAUCUAAAAUAAAACACUUAAGGGACCAGUGAAAAUGUAGAUUGCAAGAAAUCUGCAGACUUUGGAACUUAUCAAUUUAUUAAAAUUUACUUUUUUUUAGAACAAUUUUAGGCUUACAGAAAAACUCUAAAGAGAGUAUAGAGAAUUCCCACAUAUUCCGUACUUACAUUCCCCUUCGUGUCUGACUGAAACCCCAUCUGUGUGCCCUCUCUUUACAUAAAUGUAAUAAAACCUAGGCAU
rnacentral:lncRNA from 10 species